GCUAAUACCGAUAACAUUUGAACCGCAUGUUCGAAAUUGAAAGGCGGCUUCGGCUGUCACUUAUGGAUGGACCCGCGUCGCAUUAGCUAGUUGGUGAGGUAACGGCUCACCAAGGCAACGAUGCGUAGCCGACCUGAGAGGGUGAUCGGCCACACUGGGACUGAGACACGGCCCAGACUCCUACGGGAGGCAGCAGUAGGGAAUCUUCCGCAAUGGACGAAAGUCUGACGGAGCAACGCCGCGUGAGUGAUGAAGGCUUUCGGGUCGUAAAACUCUGUUGUUAGGGAAGAACAAGUGCUAGUUGAAUAAGCUGGCACCUUGACGGUACCUAACCAGAAAGCCACGGCUAACUACGUGCCAGCAGCCGCGGUAAUACGUAGUUGGCAAGCGUUAUCCGGAAUUAUUGGGCGUAAAGCGGCGCAGGU
rnacentral:rRNA from 2 species